rnacentral:lncRNA from 1 species
CGCGAGUGUGAGAGGGAGAUGCCUGUGUGUUGGCGGUUUACCGGAUCUUUUUUCUGUAGUUUUCUUAAAGAUCACUCCGCGACACACUCGAUGCGGCGCUGUCGUUCAGCAGCAGAUGACGCGCUGUCUGCGGCUGACUUGUCAUUCCCACUCGCAAUCACCGCUGUCAUCAAAAUGGACUUAUGCUAGCAACAAGUUCUGACUGAACUCAAUUGUCAUGAAACCCAUAUACAGCGAUUAGUUUUUCUCUCUUUCACACAAACUUAUAACGAGGAGCGACCACAAUAUGUUUUGUGCGGGGAAAUGCUUAGUAACGAGUCUCUCAAAACGAACGAAUUACUAAAACGACGUGUCCUGACCAAACAUCCUCAGCAUGAUGGUAAACCCAGGGAGUUAUUUGAGAACAGGGCAGAAUGCUACAGGAAACAGUGCUUCGACAGUGGAAAACAGUUACAGUAUUUUUUAACAUACUGGUGAUCAUCUCCAUCUCUCACUUCAAGCAGCUCAUCACUCCACCAACCUGCUCACCUUCUCUGGCUGUGGAAGAUCCCCUGGUGGGGCUGAUUGUGAUACCAGUAGCGACAGUAGCAGUAAUGGAAUCAUCCUAAGUUUUUGGGAAAUAUUCCUGUGAAUGUUUUCUCUACAUUGGUUAUGUAAUUCUUUCUUCAUCUUUGGGCAAUUUGGUCUUGAUAUCUAGUGACUGCUAUGUUGAUGUGUGUGAUCCCUUGUUGUACCACUCUAAAAUAACAAUAUCAAGAAUUAUACUACUGGUGGGUCUAAUCCUGAAUGCUGAUUGGUUAAAACCGCAUUCCAACCAGUGUCUAUUCCACAAGUUAUCACUGGCUAAAUCUAUGACAUUAAAAUGCCUAUUUACUCUAUUCCAUCUGGCAGCAGAAUCAACUGUCUCAUCAGCCCAGCCAGGCAAUUUAUAAACUUGAUCUCUACUAUAAAAAGCAUGUAGACAUUAUCUCACAUUUCUUUUACACUUUAGUUUUCAACUAUAAACCUUGCUGUCUGUCUCUCCGACGUUUGCAACAUUGUUUCAAUAUUCAAAUUCGAUCUCCAGCUGUCCCAUAGUAAUUAAUGUGUCGGGAGGCAGGGCGAGACAGGCAGGCAGCGUGGCAGCGUUUCUCAGCCAGUCAAAAUCAUGAAUCAGCUGCCAUCAUUUUUAUGGAUAUAUACAAAGAAAUGUCAAAUGAAGUGCAGCUAGUACAUUUUCUAUGCCAGGCAAAAUCACACCUCAUUAGCUCAUUGUUAUGGAUGUAUCUGAAAAUGUCACAAAAAAACUGCUUAAACAAAUGCAAAUGCAGCUACUGUUGUUAUUCUGGCUGCACUGUUUGACGUGACUAAGUUAAUCGUAGCUGGCUGGCUGGCUAGCAAGCAAGGGAUAAGAACCUUGCCAGCCAGUAUGGCUAUGGGACAUUUAUGACAAACGACUGGGUCUCGUCCAAAAGACUGAACGACUGGAGCGCGUCUCUGGCAACCAAACCGAUAGAACGAACGACCAGCCGGCUUGGGAAGCAACCAUAGAUUUGAGUCGGGACUAUAUCUUGUGGAAGGAGGAAAUAGUAUGAAUAAAUUAACCCGUUGUAGAAAAGUGAUAAUGCUCUCGAAGUUGGUGUUUGGAGGAUAUAUUACCAUGGUUUGUCGGCUCUCGACUUCGUCUCAGG